GUGGUUUUCCCCUCCCUUCUCUUGAAACCAACUGUUUUCGUAGCAGAACAAGUAUACCACCUCGCCUUCCACUCUUCCCAUUUAAAGGUCCACCUCAUCCCGUGCCAACCCGUCUCUCUCCCUACCCCGUCCGUCCGUCCGUCGUCAUCAUCAACAAUCCAUAUCCAAAAACUAACAACAUUAAAUCACAGAGAUCCAAUAUUUCACAUCUCUUGUCUUCUUUUACCGCCUCAAAGGUUUCUUUUUGGACACAGGAAACAGCAAAAACAACGCCACGCUGGGAUAUAUAUUAUCGGUGUUGCCCAAAUACCAUCAGCCCGUACAGAAGCAUCCCAAAACCCAAAAAAAAGUUCUGUUUCGUCGUCGUUGUUGUAGGUUUUUUACUCCUAUCUAUGUUUGUAUCCCCAGUUUCAGGUCCCAAGAGUUUCUCUUGAAUACCAGAUCACAGUUUUCUUUAAUUUACCUGAGCCCCAAAAGUUGAAUUUUUUUUUUCUUCAUAAAUUGGGGUUGAAGGGUAGUUGACUGACAUACAAAUGGGGAUCGAGAGAAAUGUAAGCAAACCAAAAGGUAAAGUGUACGGCGAGUCUAAGAAGAAUAGGCGAAAGCAGAAGAAAACAACAGUAGUGGUUCAGAAGCUUUAUGAAACUUGCAAGGAAGUAUUUUCCGAUUGUGGCCCUGGUGUUGUACCUUCACCCGAUAAAGUUGAACGGCUUAAGGUUGUUUUAGAUAGCAUGACUGAAGUAGAUGUAGGCCUGAGGCCAGAUAUGACAUUUUUCAAAGCAACAACUGGCGGAGAAAUCCCCAGAAUCACGUAUUUACACCUCUAUGCAUGCGAAAAGUUCUCGAUUGGAAUCUUCUGUUUGCCGCCCACGGGUGUCAUCCCGCUUCAUAAUCAUCCUGGAAUGACAGUUUUUAGCAAGCUUCUUUUCGGAACCAUGCACAUCAAGUCAUAUGACUGGGUGGGUAACGGACCUGAUGCCAUGGCUCUGAAUGCUGAUCCAUUAGAAGAGCAUCCAUCAAGAGUACGGUUGGCGAAAGUGAAGGUCGACUCUGAGUUUACUGCUCCAUGCAACACUUCGAUUCUGUACCCUGCUGAUGGCGGAAACAUGCAUUGCUUCAAAGCGAGGACUCCAUGUGCGGUACUUGAUGUGCUUGGACCGCCAUAUUGUGAUCCCGAGGGCCGCCACUGUCAAUACUACAUGGACUUCCCAUUCACAAGGUUCUCAGUCGUCAACAGCAUAUCAGUGCCUGUGGAAGAGAGGGAUGGGUAUGCAUGGCUUGAAGAGAGGGACAGACCUAAGGAUGUAACUGUAGUUGGGGAAGUGUACAGCGGGCCAAAGAUAGUGGAGAAGUGAGAUGUCUGUCCCCAGUAGCAUACUUUCUGACCGGUUGAUCCAUUGGAGCAGAGUGCAACAUUUUGAUGUGUACAUACUAAGAUAGAGAGCUUGAAAGAAAAAAUGAAAUGAUUUUCCAUAGUGCAGCACAAGCAGUUCUGAUUUUAGAAGAAGAAAGAUGAUAACACGGAAAUCGGCUGACGGAUAAAUAAUAUAUUCCGAGCGCGUUCUGGUUUUUCUUUCUAGUUCUGAUGCAGAAAUACGUACGUAGUACUUGCGUAUGAAAAGUCGGUCCCGUUUGUUUGGUACUAGCUCCUCGCCAACCUUUGCGCGACUUGCAUCCCAAAGUCCCUCCCUGGUCCAGUUUCCAACUUGGCAAAAUCUCACGGGAUGCCAUCUUCAUUGGUUCCAUUUUCUUGCUUUCUCCCGGUACCAACAAAGUCCUAUUAUUAAUUAUUAUCCCCGCCUGUGGGACGUAUUAAUUGGCAUAGCUCUCUCUUGUUCAAAGAACUUCGGUCUGUCAAGUUUUGAUAUCUUAGCAUGAGGAUGGUAAUAGGGACAGACCCUUUGUCAUUUGGUAACAUCAUGUUACUUUUUUUUUUUUGGGGCCUAUUAUAUGUUUGGCGCAA